ACCUGGUUGGCUUAGUCAGAAGAGCAUAAGACUCUUGAUCUCAUGAUCAUGGGUUUGAGACCUGCAUUGGGUA
rnacentral:tRNA from 1 species